UUUUAUGAUGAUUUGGUAAUUAUGAUCAAUUAUUAUUUAAUUUAGAAUUGGUGCCUAAGGCAUUUGGAGCCUAUAUAAUGAGAAGAAUCACUUCUCUUUUUCUCCUUCACAUGAACUAGACAAAAAGAGGAAAAUAGCAGGCAUGAGAAAUAAAGAGAAGAGAGAGAGAGAGUGGAGGCCGAGAGGCGGAGCUCAAGAUCUAGGGCUCAGGUUUGGACACAAGGUUUAAGGAUUCGAAAUCUCUAAGGUGGUGGUGCUUCAUAGUGGUUUGGCCUACACAUCAACUUAAGGCUUUGAUCGUUAAGCAGGAUCACUUUCUUUUUCUAAUACUCUACACACACGCCAAGGGAAGAAGGUUAAACAUGUUUUCUUGAUUACUAAUGUUUAUAGAAUGCAUGUUGUAUGCCAAAUUCUUUAGGACAUGUACUUGGGAAGGUAAAAGGUGGACAAAGGUUGCCACAGUGUUGACCAUAGUGGUCGUAGAGAGGACCCAGUGCUUCAUCAUAGUUAUCUCUCCCAUUAAUGUGUGUAGUGCGUGCAUAGGUUUCUGUAUGGUGAUUCUAUGUUUUGUUAUGAUAUUUUUAUGAGAAUGUUAUGUGUUUGGUUUACUCUCCUUACUGGGUUGUUUAGCUCAUCCCUCUUACCUUUCCCCCUGCAAGAAAUUAGUGAAUGUCUUGUAUGUUGUGUGGUGAGUUGAGAUCGAUCCAGAAUAGAAGUGUGUAUCCUGUGGUGAGCUAGAUGGACGAACAAAGGUUGAGAAUGCCAUAGAGUUAUAAGCUAUUUUUAUCAUGAUUGUAAUUUUGUAAUGUAAGACCAGUGUAUGUCAUUUUCUUUAAAGUUCAUGAACUACAUGUUUGUUUUAAACUCAGAUCCGACCUUGUGCAUGUUUUGAAUAAAAGAUCCACUGGAUAUUUUUAUCAUAUUAUUGUAAAUUUGUUAGCUUUAUUUAAAUAUUGUUCAUAUUUAAAAGUUAGUCAAUUUAGGGUGUUAGAACAAUGGAGGUUCUUGGUUAAUAACAUCCCUUAGUCCUCUUAUUUCAAAAACAAUCAACAUACCCAAAAGCGAAGCAAUUGUUCUGUUUGUUUCAAACCUUAUUGUGUGUAGGAAUGUAUCCAUAUGGUGAUAAUUUAAAGAAAUUUUAUUAACUAGAAGAAAAUAAUGUAUACACUUUUAAUUAUAAUCCAAAUAAAUAUCAUAAUUUUUUAAAAGUGAAUAUGAAGCAUGAAUACAAAAAUUAAAACAUAUAAACAUAGCAUUUACUAUUCUACGAUAAAACUACCCAUCAAUUAAAAUCCUGCCUUAAGGUUGGUAAAAUUAAUUUCAGACAAUCUAUAAGACAAUCUUAUCCUUAUUAAUUUAAAACUUAAAACAUCUCAUAUUUUCCAUUUUAAAAAUAAGGUACUGUUGGUUUGUUCAAGACAUAAUGACCCACUGCAAAAGCUUAAUUAUGUCUUUGUGAGUGUAACCCAUUAUUUUGGAGUCCACGACUUAACUUAAAAAAUGUCAUCUUAGGGUUGGUCAAAUCUAAAAUACAUCACUUAUCCAUAUCUAUUUAAAGAAGUCAACCAUGAUAUUGAUAUGGCUCAACACCUUCCUUAGGGGGAUGGAAACAAAGCUGCCUCGAGGCCCAUACUAUAUCUUACGGUGUUGUACUAAUGAUAGAGACCAUAGGUCACAUUGAGAUGUCAACCUUUUUCCACUCUCUAUUUUAUAAUUAAAUGUGUUUAUUAAACUAAUCAAUUAUUUCCAAAUUAAUUACUAGUUUAUUACAAUUCUAUGAAUGUUACAUAAUUAAUUAAUCCAAUUAAAUAGACCUAUGUUCAAUUUAAUCUUAAGAAAGAACCUAAGUCUAUAAUUAGGUGAAAUUAAAAAAUUAAUAAUACCAUUACAUUCAUCAAACUAUGAUAAAAGUUGGUUAUUUUAAUAGAUAUAGCCUUUAGAGUGGCGUGUUUACCAAAUUGGACUAACAUAGCACUUUAUAUGCAAUUAAUUUCACUAAAAUAAUUCAUAUAAACAAAUAGGACAAUUCUAAAUAAUCAUGUUUCUACAUAUGAGAUGCAUGAUUAAUAAAACUGUGUAGAGUUUCAUGUAUGACAUGUAUUUGACUAAUGCAUGAUCAUGUUGUCAAUCACAUCAAUGAACAUUUAUUUAAAUAAAUACAAUAGAAAAAUAAAAAAUGAACUGAAAGCUGUUAAGUAUUUUUAAAUUUACAACCCUUUGAAAAAAAAAUAGAAAUCAAUAAAAUUACAAAUUGGGCUUCAAAUAAACAUUUUUCCAAAAAGACGACCUUCUACACUCGAGGCCCAUCUUCAUAAUUUUUAGGUUUUAGGCCCAACCCUUUAAUUUAAUUAAAUCAAUUUUCUAAUUAAUUAAUCAAAUCCAUUUAAUUUCUCUAAAAACUUAUAUGAAUUUACAUAGUCAAGAAAAACAAUUUUAAAUGACUUUUUAAACUUGAAAUAAAAAAACACAACCAAUUUAAGGAUAUUUUAAUUUUAUAACAAAAUCAAAAUAUAGUAAUUAAUUUAAAAAUUAAUUAAUCAAAGAAAUAUUUAGGGUUAGGGUUUUCGUAGCAUCCCAAAACUUCUAGUAGAAUUAAGUGCUUUGAUUAACAUGUCGGUAUGACACGUGAGGUAAUUAUGUGUUAAAUAAUUGAUUUACGUGACUAUUUGAUUUAGUAUGCAUGAUUAUGUGUAUUAAAUGUGUUUAAAGAUCCGCUUUUGUUAAAAAGGGGCAUUUUCGUAAUUUUGACUCGUUGAGGGUAUAAUUGUAAUUUAUAUGUGUUAUGUGCUUGGGACCACACUAUUAUGUGGAUAUUCAUGAUAUUUUGCAUGAGGUGGUCCAUUCGAGCAAUUUAGCAGAAAAGUCACAACGGAGAUUAAUACACAUCUUUGAGUGAAUCAUGGGGUAUUUUGGUAAUUUUGUAUAUUUUGGGAUUUAGUAGUAAAUGAUAUAUAUUGGGAAAAAUAUUUGUAUAUGGAAGACUAGAUGAUUUAAUUGGGGAUUUUAGGUAAAUUUGAGGUUUGGUGGGAAAUAGAGGUUAAUGACAAUUUUUCCCUUAUGGGACCUUAAGGAGAGAAUUCAAAGAGGAGGUUAAAAUGGUCAUUUGACCAAAGGACUAAGUAAAUGGGCCUCAGCCUUUGGGGAAGCCAAACUCACAUUACUCUCUCCCUUUCUCUCUCAUACUAAACUUAGGGUAUAGGUCUAAUUUUGCUGCUUGGGUCAGCUAUUUUUGUAACUCUGGAUAUAUCUUUAUUUUAUGUACUGUAGCCUCUCGGAAUUUUACUUAGCUAGAUAGUAGUAGUAGUAGCAGCUAGUAGUAGCUUGUAGUAUGUUAGUUUUCGUGGAUUUUGGUUCAAGCCAGGAUUUAGUUGGAAACUCAUAACAACACUUAUGGAUUUUAUAAGUUUAGCCUAUAGUUUAAGAAUAUUAAAUAUAACAUAAGGUUUGAUUAAUAUUGUUGGUCCUAAAAUAUUGUUUAUUAUAACUUAAGGUUUAGAUAGAAUUAAUAAGAGCGUGACACUUGUCACAAGCAUGUUUAUUAAGGAAUUAUGUAUUUUUGAUGAAUAAUCUAAUUAAAGGAAGAUCUAGAAGCUCUAGUAUCUUCUAGUAGUAGUUAGGAUCACGUUUUUACUCAGUCAAAGUUGUUUAAUCAAUCAAAAUAUGCUGAAAGAGUGCAAAUACGUGUUUGAUAUAUCAACGUAUGCCGAUAUAUCGCAACUAUAUGGGUCGAUAUAUUGCCUACGAGAGAUACGGAAAACACGUCGACUUCGCACGAACGAAACCACGAAGACUCGGGGUAUAGGUCCAGGUGAUACAUCGCCUAGGGUGGGCGAUAUAUCAGCCCCUGGGAAACAUUUUUGAAUUACUUGAGGAUUUAAGAUUUAAAAACAGCCUUAACCACUUGGACUUGCUCUUGAACGAUUUUGACCGAGUUUUGGGCAUCUGUUGAACGAAAAUUCAAAUCUUUUUCAUUUUAUAUUCAUUUAUUUAUUCAUUUUAAAAGGGGUUAGUUUCACUCCUUGAACUCUAUAAAUAGGACCUAGUACUCAGCCAUUUCACUCAUCUUUCAAGCAUUGUUCAGAGCCUCCAAGCUUCUAAGGUUACUAUAGAGAGAAACACCUGGAUUUUGGGUUAAAAGCUUUUCCAAUCUAAGCUUUUCUAAACACUUGGGAAGUAAGAUAGAGUGUUAUUUUGGUAUCGAGGUGUAGAUCAAAGUCAUAGUUCAUCCAAGGUAUUCUUAUCCUUAAGUUCAAUUCUUCAUGGUUCUUUAGUUUUCUUUUGUUUUCAUUCAGAUCCUAACUCUUUGUUAUGAUUCUUGGUUAGGUUUAAGUUCUUGAAACUUAAGGUUUUUGGUAAGUUUCUACUUUGAUGGUUUAGUUCUCUUUUUCAUCUCCUUUUCUUUAGAAACUCAUGGUUUACUGUUGAUUUUAGGAGUAUUCCAAAUCUCGUUCAUGUCUCCAUAUCCCAAUUUUUUGUAAGGAAAAUAGGUUAGAUUAUAUGUAUUUAUAUGUUUAUAUUAUGAUAUGUUUUAUGCUACGAUAUGAUAUGUGAUAUGAUAUAUAUUUUGUAGUCACUAGCCACAAGAAUUUUCAUCAUUUUCGUGGUUUAGAGUUAUGAUUUACCCUACUUCAAUUAGUAGACAGAGGACCUAGAUGGGUUAUCAUAUACUAUAGUUGUGAUCUAACUUACCUCGAUUAGUAGACUGAGGACAUAGAUGGUUUUAUAACAUACCACAUUAAUGAGUUAAUGGCCAUUAAUAUUGUAGUCCUAUAUGAUAUACGUUUUUAUAGUCAUAUAUUUAAUAGUAUAUGCUUUAUGAUAUAGUCUUAUAUUUUAUGAUUUAUGACAUUGUUGACGCGGUUCUUCGCCAACAGGUAAUUAAGAAAAUAAGAGGAAGGGAUUAGUGCUUAUGUUGAACCGAAAUAGAUGAAUGAUCUUUUAAGAAAUGGGCUGAUGACACAAUUAUGUUUUUAGGUGGUUCAAAGGUUAAAAUCCUUCUACUCCACCAGUCAAUAUUAUUGCUAUAUGCUUGGUAUUCUUUUACAGGGUAUUUCUUGCACAAUAGAAUCCAACCCUUUGCAACUCCCAGGGUCUCCAUAUUUAUAGGAGAGGGCACCUGGGAGUUGGUAAGAAGGUCAUCCCGUGACCUUUUGUACCUAUCAUGUCAACUCUGUGACAUUCAUGAUUAAUUCCUAAAACCUGACACAUGAAGUGUGGUCUAAUCAAUAGGUAAGGGGGAUAAUGGGUCGCACGGCCCAACCCAGUCGUGGGUGUCUAAAUGCGCACAUUCAUGCUACGUGUCCGAGAAGUCAGGGAUAUAUCAGACAUGUGAUGUCUGAUAUAUGCACGUUUACCUUGCGUGGUUGACUUUAUAAAGGGUCACAGCCUCCAACUCCAGCUCGUACCAUGAGCUGGAUGCUUCCCUCGACCUGUGGCCUUCAAAGUCCAAGCUCAGUCUAAUCUUGGCGAACCCUUAGGUUACCUCGAGCUGAGGAGGUAGGAUCUUUCUAUGGCAGCUCCGGUCUUGGGGAUGUCCACGUGGUAGACAUGAUUAGGCCGUAUCUCAUGAUUAGGCCGUAUCUCAGCUUGCUAACAGCCCGUGGGAAAACCAAGGCAUACAGACAUAUAUGUUUUUAGUUGAUUUGCCUUGCUGGGCAUUAGGAUCAUUCCUUUCU